rnacentral:ribozyme from 1 species
UGCCCAGCAACCCCUAUCCCUACCUCCUCGUGGUACUGUCCUGGGUACGAGUAACCUUAGGGAAGUUCGGGUAACCAACCCCGGUGGGAACUUUGGUCGUAAGCUGACAGGGAUGG